rnacentral:rRNA from 1 species
CCCUUAGAUGUCCUGGGCAGCACGCGUGCUACAAUGAUGCAUUCAACGAGUCUUGCCUUAACCGAAAGGUUCGGGUAAACUUUUGAAAUUGCAUCUUGUCGGGGCUUGAUCAUUGUAAUUUUUGAUCACAAACAAGGAAUUCCUUGUAAAUGUGAGUCAUCAACUUGCAUUGAAUACGUCCCUGCCCUUUGUACACACCGCCCGUCGCUCCUACCGAUUGGGUGUGCUGGUGAAAUGUUCGGAUCGGCCGUUUGUCGCGGUUUCCGCGUCAUGUGGCUGAGAAGUUCAUUAAACCCUCCCACCUAGAGGAAGGAGAAGUCGUAACA